rnacentral:snoRNA from 3 species
ACCAUGUUGUGGUUCGCAAGCGUGAUAAUUCAGUUUUUACGCUCACGUAUGAGACACACCUCCUUCAAAUCUUGUUAUGUCAUCACAUUAACCAUCUGAUG